UACGUAGGUGGCGAGCGUUGUCCGGAUUUACUGGGCGUAAAGAGCGCGCAGGCGGUCGUACAAGUCGCGUGUGAAAGCCCCCGGCUCAACUGGGGAGGGUCACGCGAUACUGUUCGACUCGAAGGCAGGAGAGGGAAGCAGAAUUCCCGGUGUAGUGGUGAAAUGCGUAGAUAUCGGGAGGAAUACCAGUGGCGAAGGCGGCUUCCUGGCCUGUUCUUGACGCUGAGGCGCGAAAGCUAGGGUAGCAAACGGG
rnacentral:rRNA from 1 species